ACUGAUCAUUGCCCCAGAGAUGGGGAUGUGGUUAGUCUGGUGCACAGCAGUGCUGUGCUUCUUGGGAGCAAGACACACAGACGCUAAAAUCACCCAAACACCAAGCCUGGUACUGAAGAGAGGACAGACAGCCCAACUGACAUGCAGACAAACUGAUGGUCAUAGUUAUAUGUACUGGUAUCAACAGCAGCAGGGGAAGGGGCUGCAGCUGAUCUAUUACUCAUUUGCUGUAAAUAACAAGGAGAAAGGUGAUAUUAAAGAGGGAUUCACAGCCUCCCGGCAACAGACCGAAAUCUUUGACUUGAACAUCACCUCUGUGAAGACUGAGCACUCGGCUGUGUAUCUCUGUGCCAGCAGUUUAGACACAGUGCUUCAGAGUCACCUCCUCCCCCUACAAAAACCUCCCUGCUUCCCCCAACACUCCCUCAGAGAGAGCAGCUCCUCCCAUCUCUAUACAAAAAGGAGAACAUGCUACUAUCAGACAGAGAGAAACAGCUCAUUAUGCAUAGAAACCACAGCAAAGAGCUGCUUUGGGAAAAGUGAUCAAAGGCCGAAAAACUCCCUUGAGUAUUGA